AGUGAACGCUGGCGGUAGGCCUAACACAUGCAAGUCGAACGGCAGCACAGUAAGAGCUUGCUCUUACGGGUGGCGAGUGGCGGACGGGUGAGGAAUACAUCGGAAUCUACUUUUUCGUGGGGGAUAACGUAGGGAAACUUACGCUAAUACCGCAUACGACCUACGGGUGAAAGCAGGGGAUCUUCGGACCUUGCGCGAUUGAAUGAGCCGAUGUCGGAUUAGCUAGUUGGCGGGGUAAAGGCCCACCAAGGCGACGAUCCGUAGCUGGUCUGAGAGGAUGAUCAGCCACACUGGAACUGAAACACGGUCCAGACUCCUACGGGAGGCAGAAGUGGGGAAUAUUGGACAAUGGGCGCAAGCCUGAUCCAGCCAUACCGCGUGGGUGAAGAAGGCCUUCGGGUUGUAAAGCCCUUUUGUUGGGAAAGAAAAGCAGCAGGUUAAUACCCCGCUGUUCUGACGGUACCCAAAGAAUAAGCACCGGCUAACUUCGUG
rnacentral:rRNA from 1 species